rnacentral:lncRNA from 1 species
UGGAUUAUAUUUUCCUGAAUUUUUUUGUUUAAUGUGUCAUGUGUGGUUAAUUACUGUUGUAAUUCCUGUGGAUAUAAUACUUGACUUUAUGUUUUGUGCAUGUAUUUCUUGGAUGUGUAAUGCUUUAAUUUUUGGCUUUACUCUCAACACACCAACUAUGGUAAUAUAUUGGCGUUAAGUGUUAAUGAGUCAAAGAGAAGGAGAGCCGCGGUGCAACCGUAAAAGUUGCUGCCAAGUGACCAGGAGGUCAGGGGUUCAAGUAGCGGAAACAACCUCUUGCAGAAAUGCAAGAUAAGGCUGCAUACAUAAGACAUGAUGUGAUCCGGCUCUUUGCUGGAUCCCGCGCAUAGCGGGAGCUUAGUGCACAUGGUUGUCCUAUUAAUAAGUCAAAGAGCUUGUUAAGCCUCUAUCAGCCAAAAAGAUCUAAGUCUAGAUGUUGAGUAAUUUGCUUCCCAGUUUCGAACAUGACUACUAUGCUUCAAUUUCAAACAAGUUGGGACUGGCUAGAAUCCUCACUUACCAUGUUCCCCAUUUAAAUUAAUCUCAGGCCAAGAUUAUAUCAAAUAAAAAUAAAGUGAAAAGUACUAGAGAUUUCUAUUUUUUUAAUGGCAUAAGAGUCUAAUAAGGCUAAAGUAAUUUGCCUUCUAAGAAGGAUCCGACAGAAGUAUGUUGCUCGAAGUCGGAUCCUCCAAAAGUAAUGCAUUUUUUGAGGAUCCGACAUGGGUGUUGCGAAAAUUCUAGAGGAUCUGAGCAACAUAGCUUCAAACAACAUAUUAGUCCACUUAUCCCAUGAUAUAUAUCUUUGGUUGAUGGGUCUUAGACUUGGCAAACAUUAUGUGUAAUUAUUAUUUUUGCUUGGGGAGUAACAUAUUUGAUUUUUGCAGGACCCAGACUUGUUACUACUGGAUGAACCGACCAAUCAUCUUGACCUUGAUACGAUUGAGUGGCUUGAGGGUUAUCUUAAUAAGCAAGAAGUUCCUAUGGUCAUUAUAUCUCAUGAUCGAGCUUUCCUUGACCAGUUGUGUACAAAAAUUGUGGAGACCGAUAUGGGUGUAUCUAGGACAUAUGAAGGAAAUUACUCGGAUUUUAUUAUUUCAAGGGCUGAAUGGAUUGAAACACAGAAUGCUGCAUGGGAAAAACAACAGAAGGAAAUUGAGCAAACGAG